AGAGUUUGAUCCUGGCUCAGGACGAACGCUGGCGGCGUGCCUAAUACAUGCAAGUAGAACGCUGAAGGAGGAGCUUGCUUCUCUGGAUGAGUUGCGAACGGGUGAGUAACGCGUAGGUAACCUGCCUGGUAGCGGGGGAUAACUAUUGGAAACGAUAGCUAAUACCGCAUAAGAGUAGAUGUUGCAUGACAUUUGCUUAAAAGGUGCACUUGCAUCACUACCAGAUGGACCUGCGUUGUAUUAGCUAGUUGGUGGGGUAACGGCUCACCAAGGCGACGAUACAUAGCCGACCUGAGAGGGUGAUCGGCCACACUGGGACUGAGACACGGCCCAGACUCCUACGGGAGGCAGCAGUAGGGAAUCUUCGGCAAUGGACGGAAGUCUGACCGAGCAACGCCGCGUGAGUGAAGAAGGUUUUCGGAUCGUAAAGCUCUGUUGUAAGAGAAGAACGAGUGUGAGAGUGGAAAGUUCACACUGUGACGGUAUCUUACCAGAAAGGGACGGCUAACUACGUGCCAGCAGCCGCGGUAAUACGUAGGUCCCGAGCGUUGUCCGGAUUUAUUGGGCGUAAAGCGAGCGCAGGCGGUUAGAUAAGUCUGAAGUUAAAGGCUGUGGCUUAACCAUAGUAGGCUUUGGAAACUGUUUAACUUGAGUGCAAGAGGGGAGAGUGGAAUUCCAUGUGUAGCGGUGAAAUGCGUAGAUAUAUGGAGGAACACCGGUGGCGAAAGCGGCUCUCUGGCUUGUAACUGACGCUGAGGCUCGAAAGCGUGGGGAGCAAACAGGAUUAGAUACCCUGGUAGUCCACGCUGUAAACGAUGAGUGCUAGGUGUUAGACCCUUUCCGGGGUUUAGUGCCGUAGCUAACGCAUUAAGCACUCCGCCUGGGGAGUACGACCGCAAGGUUGAAACUCAAAGGAAUUGACGGGGGCCCGCACAAGCGGUGGAGCAUGUGGUUUAAUUCGAAGCAACGCGAAGAACCUUACCAGGUCUUGACAUCCCUCUGACCGCUCUAGAGAUAGAGUUUUCCUUCGGGACAGAGGUGACAGGUGGUGCAUGGUUGUCGUCAGCUCGUGUCGUGAGAUGUUGGGUUAAGUCCCGCAACGAGCGCAACCCCUAUUGUUAGUUGCCAUCAUUUAGUUGGGCACUCUAGCGAGACUGCCGGUAAUAAACCGGAGGAAGGUGGGGAUGACGUCAAAUCAUCAUGCCCCUUAUGACCUGGGCUACACACGUGCUACAAUGGCUGGUACAACGAGUCGCAAGCCGGUGACGGCAAGCUAAUCUCUUAAAGCCAGUCUCAGUUCGGAUUGUAGGCUGCNUAGUCCAGUUUGGCGAUGAUUUCCUUGUGUGUAUCCUUAUUGAUGAUGUCUAAAAUCUGGAUAUUAGGGUCUUUAAUGUCUAGUAAUUUUGUGAUAAAAUGUAAUUGUUCCAUAUGAAUCUUUCUAAUGAGUUGUUUUGUCGCUUUUCAUUAUAGGUCAUAUGGGACUUUUUUUCUACACAAAAAUAAGCUCCAUAAUAUCCAUAGGGGAUUUACCCACUACAAAUAUUAUAGAGCCUGAAAAAUUCUAUAUUUCCAUCUGGUAUUGGACUAAAGUUGUUUCCUCUAGGAUAAUACUCAUUAUAUUGAAUAUCAUAAUGCCCAGUUGUAGACCCUCGUGGAGCAGCACCAAUUCCAGUAUCUCCACUAUCAAGAAAAAUCUCUACUUCAAUUGUUGCGAACCCUUUUGAAUCAAAGAUAUAUCUGCAAAUACCAUUAAUUAUUUUCAUAGGCUUCCACUUUCUUUUUUAUCAUUGAAAAUUACUUUUUUUAUAAAUGUCGUCGAUUUUAUUUUCUAUUGAGAUCUAAUUUCCCUACUCAGCUCAAUAAUACGUUCACAUAGGUUUGGGAAAUCUAUACCAGCUGCUUUCGCUUCCUGUGGUAAUAAACUUGUUUUAGUCAUACCUGGUAAACUAUUUGAUUCAAUAAAAUAUACAUCCCCCUUCUCAUCUACAAUAAAAUCAGUACGUGAAUAAACAUUAAAUCCAAGAGCCUUAUGUAUUUUAUAUGCGGAUUUUUGUAAGGUAUGAGUUAACUUUUCAGAUAUUUUUGCGGGAACGACUUCUUCAGCUGCACCAACAGUGUACUUGUUAUUAUAAUCAUAAAAACCAUUUUUUACUUUUAUUUCAAUAACCGGUAAAACAGUUUCACCUAAAAUACCUACCGAAAAUUCUCUCCCCUUAAUAUACUUUUCUACAAAGAAUGAACCAAGUUCAGGAUGCUCUUUAUAAUAAAUGUCAAAUUGUUUUUUAUUUUGAAAUAUCUUAAUACCUUUACUUGAACCACUUCUAAUUGGCUUUAUAACAAUAGGAAAAUCAUUUGCCUGAAUUCUAUCAACCAUCAAGUUCGAAGCACAUUUUAUUCCAACAGAACUAGCCACUAUUUUUGAUAAUUUUUUAUCCAUGCUAAUAGCUGUACUAAGAAACGAAUUUCCUGUAUAGUCUAUUUUUUCUACAUCAAAAAUAGCCUGUAGUUUCCCAUUCUCACCUAUUCCACCAUGAGUUGCUAAGAAAACUAUAUCAACCUUUCUACAAACAUCAAUAAUACCCGAACCAAUCUCAACUUUUUGUUUAUUUAAUCCGCGCUCACUUUUUUCAAUUUCUCCUAUCUCGUACGAACAGUCUUGAGAUAAAUCUAUAGAAAUCACAUCAUACCCCAAUGUUAAUAGACUUUUACUAAUUUCCUUUGCAGAAUUUUCUGACACCUCUCUCUCUUCGCUAAGGCCACCAUAUAGUACAACAAUUUUUUUAAUAAUAGCCAUUCACUUAACCUCCUUAUUAGAAUCUUAUUGAAUAAAAUGAAGCAAUAGUUAUCUCAAAAUAUAAAUAAUAAAUAAUAUAUAAUAUAGUAUUUAGAAAAUAAUUUCUAAUAUCUGCAAAAGAAAGCGCUUCUAUUUUUAUUUUACAAUUUUUUAAUCCUAUUGUCAAAAAUUAUUUGUGCUUAAACCAUAUGAGUGUGCUCCAUGUAUUGCAGUUCCUUAAAUCAAGCAUAAUCCAGCAUUUCUAGCUUUAUCCCUCCUCUAAAAUUUGUCAAUUACGAAAACAUCUUUUUCCAUAUUUAACGUGCUUACAAAAAUUUCUAAUCUUAUUGCUCUUUUCUCAAACUCAUAAAGAUAAUAGUCUAAGUUUUCUUGCAAUACUCUUAUUUCUUCGUUCACAUUUUCUAAUGAAGUUGAUUCUGUUAAGUUCAGUUUUGAAAAGUCAUACCUGGCUAAUUUUUGGCUGCUCGCAUCUUCACUCUUU
rnacentral:rRNA from 1 species